rnacentral:rRNA from 1 species
GACGAACGCUGGCGGCGUGCUUAACACAUGCAAGUCGAACGGAGAGGCGCUGCCUUUGUGGGGUGCUCGGGUGGCGAACGGAUGAGGAACACGUGAGUAACCUGCCCUGGACUUUGGGAUAGCUUCAGGAAACUGGGGCUAAUACCGGACAGGAGCUCCUGCUGCUUGGGGGGGGUGGGAAAGGGUCGGCUGUUGGGGCGGGUGUCGCGGGUUAUGAGGUUGUUUGUGGGGUAGUGGCUGAGGAAGGCUUUGACGGGUGGCCGGCCUGGGAGGGUGACCGGCCCCAUUGGGACUGCGAUACGGCCCAGCAGCCUAGGGGAGGGAGCAGUGGGGAAUAUUGUGCAACGGGCGGACGCCGGAUGCGGCAACGCCGUGCGCGUGAUGAAGGCCUUUGGGUUGUAAACCGCGUUUGCCUGUGACGAAGCGUGAGUGACGGUAACGGGUAAAGAAGCACCGGCUAACUACGUG